rnacentral:rRNA from 1 species
UUAAGCUAAGAAGAGCGUAGGGAGAAUGCCUUGGCAUUAGGAGCCGACGAAGGACGUGAUAAGCUGCGAUAAGCUGCGGGGAUCAGCAAGUAUGAAUUGAUCCGCAGAUUUCCGAAUGGAGCAAUCCGUAUGUGUAUGCACAUACAUCAUAUACUGAAUCAAAUAGGUAUAUGAGGGGAACCGCCUGAACUGAAACAUCUAAGUAGGGCGAGGAAGAGAAAUCAACCGAGAUUCUGUGAGUAGUGGCGAGCGAAAGCGGAAGAGGCUAAACCAUAGGUAGCAAUACUUAUGGGGUUUCGGACAGCAUUUAGUAUUGAUAAUUUCUAGUUGAAACGUGUGGGAAAACGUACCGAAGAGUGUGAGAGUCACGUAAGCGAAAGAGAGAGUCAGCGAGCUGUAUCCAAAGUACCGCGGGACACGUGAAACCCCGUGGGAAGAUGGGGGGACCAUCCUCCAAGCCUAAAUACUACCUAAUGACCGAUAGCGAAUAGUACUGUGAAGGAACGGUGAAAAGAACCCCGGGAGGGGAGUGAAAAAGAACCUGAAACCCUAUGCUUACAAGCACCGAGAGCACGUCAAAGUGUGAUCGGGUACCUUUUGUAGAAUGGUCCGGCGAGUUAUUGUAUGCGGCAAGGUUAAGUGCUUAAGGCACGGAGCCGAAGCGAGAGCAAGUCUGAAUAGGGCGAAAAAGUCGUAUGCAAUAGACCCGAAACCGAGUGACCUAUCCAUGUCCAGGCUGAAGUGGAGGUAAAACUCCAUGGAGGGCCGAACACACGUCCGUUGAAAAGGCCGGUGAUGAGGUGUGGAUAGCGGAGAAAUUCCAAUCGAACUCGGAUAUAGCUGGUUCUCUCCGAAAUAGCUUUAGGGCUAGCCUCGUGAAAGAUUACUGGAGGUAAAGCACUGAAUGGGCUAGGGGUCGAAAGAUUACUGAACCCUAUCAAACUAAGAAUGCCAGAUAAUUGAUUCACGGGAGUCAGACAAUGUGAGAUAAGUCUCAUUGUCAAAAGGGAAACAGCCCAGACCCACAGCUAAGGUCCCUAAACAUUGUUAAGUGGAAAAGGAUGUGGGGUUGCAUAAACAACCAGGAUGUUGGCUUAGAAGCAGCCACUCAUUAAAAGAGUGCGUAAUAGCUCACUGGUCGAGUGACCCUGCGCCGAAAAUUCAACGGGGCUAAACAAUGUACCGAAGCUUGGGAUUCUAAAGUAAUUUAGAGUGGUAGGAGAGCGUCGAAUAAGGGGUGAAGUCAGAGCGGAAGCGCUGGUGGACUUUAUUCGAGUGAGAAUGCCGGAAUGAGUAGCGAGAAUUAUGUGAGAAUCAUAAUGGCCGAAAAUCUAAGGUUUCCUGAGGAAGGUUCGUCCGCUCAGGGUAAGCCGGGAGCUAAGGCGAGGCGGAGACGCGUAGCCGAUGCACAUACGGUUGAAAUUCCGUAGCCACCGAAAGAUUUAAGUACAGGGACGCUUUAGAAGUGAUGUUGCCGGGCGAUGGUUGACCCGGUCGUAAGGGAUCGAAAAUGAGUAGAGAAGUCAUCAUGGAAAGAGACAAGAAAAGCUGUAUGAAUAUCUUAGGUGCCCGUACCGCAAACCGACACAGGUAGAUAGGAAGAAGAUUCUAAGGCCAACGGGAGAAGGGUUGUUAAGGAACUCGGCAAGUUGACCCCGUAACUUAGGGAUAAGGGGUGCUCAAGUGAUUGAGCCGCAGAGAAUAGGCCCAGGCGACUGUUUAGCAAAAACACAGGUCUCUGCUAAAUCGAAAGAUGACGUAUAGGGGCUGACACCUGCCCGGUGCCGGAAGGUUAAGAGGAGAUGUGAGAGCAUUGAAUUGAAGCCCCGGUAAACGGCGGCCGUAACUAUAACGGUCCUAAGGUAGCGAAAUUCCUUGUCGGGU